rnacentral:rRNA from 1 species
UGAGCAACCUGCCCUUGACUCUGGAAUAACAGUUGGAAACAGCUGCUAAUACCGGAUAUGACUCCUCAUCGCAUGGUGGGGGUGGAAAGCUUUAUUGUGGUUUUGGAUGGACUCGCGGCCUAUCAGCUUGUUGGUGAGGUAAUGGCUCACCAAGGCGACGACGGGUAGCCGGCCUGAGAGGGUGACCGGCCACACUGGGACUGAGACACGGCCCAGACCUCCGUAGGGAGG